rnacentral:RNase_P_RNA from 3 species
AAAGCGCGCCGAUCUGCCGCGAAAACAUUGUUUUUGAGGAAAGUCCGGACAUCUAAAGGCAGCAUGCUGGCUAACGGCCAGUGGGCGGAAGCGCAAGCGACCGCUUAAGGAAAGUGCCACAGAAAUUACACCGCCGCUCACGCGGUAAGGUUGAAAUGGCGAGGUAAGAGCUCACCCGGCCGGCGGCGACGCCGGUUGAUGGUAAACCCCAUGCGAUGCAAGGCCUAACAGGCGCCCACAAACCGCCUUUUUUCCGCGCUCGCGCGCGAAGGCGCCGGGUUGGCCGCUAUGAUUUUUAUGGCGACAUAAAAGCGAGAUAGAUGGCAGAUAAACAAAAUCCGGCUUAUGAGCGCGCUUUUGUU